CAUAUUCACAGCAUUGUUAACAGUAUUUAUUAAAAUGUGCAAGGGGAGAAAACAGGAAGGUUCAGGCUGAUGGGGUGAAGAAGCAGCACGGUCCCUGGAAGGCAGCCAGAAAUGGGUGAGCUUUUGGAGGGCCUUCUUGUUCAGAGGGGCAGGGGAUGAAGAGCCACAGGCUGGGGUCAGUCCUCAGGUGAGGGAUUACACCCACAUAGGGGAGCUUAGCAUUUAAUACAGAAAUAGGAAGGAUAACCUCGGCUUCCUGAAUUUUACAGGGAACUUUAGUAUGGACUGGGGGAAAGUGACAUCUAGUGUUAGCUGAAAAUAAUCCAAAGUCGACUAUUCAAAACUACAGUCAUGACAACAUGCGGUAACCAGCUGGACAACAAUGACAAGUACACACCAGUUCAAGGUCCAUUUUCCAUUAAAUCCUGAGUGCAUUUUUCCUCCAAAAGCAUGUUUUCCACCUUCCUUGUUGUGUCUCACUCAACAAAAAUACCUCUAGAACUAAUUAAAGAGUGAGUUUCUGAGGGAUUUGGAAUCAGAUACAAAGUGACCUUCGGAACCCAAGCACACAUUCCACAGGUGAGAAGCCAGAGCCAGAGAGGAUGGUGGUUCCCGAAGCCGGGGUUCUCUGAGUUCCCUGGAACCCUGAUCUCCCUCCUUCCUUCUCCAUUUCCACGAGCACCUGCCUGUGUCCGCCCCAUGCCCAGCAGCGCAGGAGCUAGGGGUGCGCAGCAGAGCCUGAGAGCAGCUCCUCUUUGGGGUCCCUCGUGUGCCUGCUGUCACAUGCUACAUGAGCUAACAGGAAAGCCAGAAAAUCACACUGCUUAGUAAGUCUAUCCUGAAUAUACCCAUUUAGUAAAUAGGAGGCCUGCGAUGCAAACACACCCUCUGUCACCGAGAACUGCAAUGCCAGCCCCUCUGCCAACUCACUCAGAGCCUCAUGGGGUAUCUUGAGAAGCAGAUCUAAAUUAAAACUGAAGCUUAAAUGCCUUGUCUACAGUCAUCAUCCAUAAAGAUAUCCAGAGACAAGAAGCUGUUGCUCCACAUACACCAUUCAGAAAACAAGGCAAUUUUAACAUCCCAUGUUGGAAAAAAACAAAAACAAAAACAAGGCACACUUUUCUUAAUUGGACCUCAUUCAAAUAUUUACUGGGGAACAUGUCUCCAUGUCUCCUGGUAAAGUCAGGUAACUGCCUGCUUUGUAAUGCAUGGAUUUUGCUUAUGAUGUCAUAGACGUCAAUAGAAAUUCUACAGUUGAAAUUAAAGAUGAGUCAGCAAGGAUGAGAAACAUAACCAAAGCAUAGAAGGAAUGGGGAACCUUCUUAGGAGCUCAGAUGCUUCAUUCAUCUCAUGCAGCAAUUCACAUCUGUAAACAGAUGAUUAGGUGGUGCCCUUACCCCACAUGCACCUUUAAAAUGACCUAACGUGCUUUCCCCCUUCAGUGGGCAAGCUCAUCACAUAAAUGGGCAUGUUCCCGGCUCAUGCCAAUAAUUCUUCCAGCGCCCCAGACUGAAGAAGUGUUGUCAUUUAAAAGCAGCAAAUGUGCUGUAAACAUCAACCAAUAGUAGUCUUUGAAGCUACAAGCAAGACACACUUCGCACAUUGUACUGAGGUUGUCUGCCAGUGGGAUUUUACCCCUCAAAUCCAGGUAUGGUCAGAGACAGAGCUCCAUGAACUCACUUAACUUAGAAAAAAACAUCGGGAACAGGCACUUGAAAGGGGAAACAAAACAGGUCUGUUACCGAACAGGAGACCUUCAAACGUGGCCAAAUUCCAUGAUUCAAACAAGCAGUCAUGAUAAAGAAUGUGUAUAGUUUUGACUUCAGAUAGAAAAAAUAUAACUAGAAAUAUAAGAUUUAGAAAAGACUUUCAUCUUUUUCUAGUUAAAAGCACCAAGUUCUCUUAACUGAAAUGAUUAAAUAAUUACACAAGUUGAAUAAUAUUGUGCAGUUAUGGUAAGAAAAUAAUUCUGCCAUUAAGUAAGGAUGACAUUGUAUACUAAGAACAUUCAUGUUUUCAAGACAAACCUGCCAACACCAAUACUUAACAGAUUCGUUUUAAAUACAUAAGAAUCUGAGCUAACAUGACCAUGCACUGGUGUCUAAGGUAGGCUUAGCACAUACCUAAUUACUUAUGACUGCAAAGUUAGGAGUCUUGCUCUUAAAAUGCUCCAUCUUAUUGUAAUACUUGGCCUCCAACGCUAAAAAAAAAGUUUCUUUCAAUACAAUUCAGACAGGCUGUUUCAAAUAAUCAAGGUCCUUAUUAGAAAGAAAGCGCCAAUCACAUCUUGUAGCAAACAGGUGAGCAGAGGCCACUCUUGACUGGAAAACAUCAAAUUUAGCACCUUAAUUAAUACUGAGCGCAAAGGAGAGCAUUUACUAGAAUACGCGCAGUUGCUUUAUUUGUUGACGUUAUUGCCAAUAACUCAUCAAGUGGGUCAAUCAUGAAGUAUGAUGAAUCCACUUCAACGCUUCCGCUAUAAUUACAAUGAUUAAAAGCAAGAAUUGCUUUGCUCGAAUGUCUGGAGAAAAAUGCACAAUCCCUAACCGUGGGAGGGCAUCAUUAUAAAGCUGAAGGCAGUGACCAGACGGAAAGCCUGUGAUUCCACAGCGCCUGCAGUUUUUACUGCGGUUUAUUUCCAGUCCACAGCCUCGAAGCCAUGGGUUCUCCCCGGCCCUCUGAAGCCGCCACACCUGUGCCAGCCGGCCGCGUCCUCAGACCUUUCCCCGCGGAGUCUUCCCAGCACUUGGAGACGCAGCGCAGGGCCCCGAGGACGGCCUGGCCCGGAGAAAAGAUACCGAAGCUCCAACUUUCCCCAACCCCGCUCCCCUCCUCCUUCCACCCUCCCUUCCCGCCCCCAAAGCUCGGGGGUCCUAUCCCUCCUCCGGUCCGCGGAGUCUCCCGAACCCUGCGGGGACCCGGCGCUCGGCGGUGCCCUCCUGGGGCGCACGGGGCUGGGGCGGGAGCGAGGAGACCAGGUGGGGAGGGGACCCCAGAUCUCAGACGCCAGGGGAGACGGCGUUUCCCGCUGUUCAUUCAGGUUUGUGCCAAAAGGAGCCUCACAGAUGCAGUAUUGGGUUUGGUAGACUCAAAUCGUCUUGUUUUAAUGUAAAUGAAAGUAAGUUUAGGAUAAAUUCCAGUGCGGCGGGGGCAGGCAAGGCUACCCACAUUUUUUAAAAAGAAGCCAGCCCGUAUUUUUCUCCCUUUCCAAAUCCUCCGCCCCCCAGUCCUUCGACCCAGGCACGAGCGCCCAUCGCGGAGGCCACGAUGCCCGUUUUAUUCCCUCUCCACGGCAAGGAAAAGCAGCGAAAUCUGAGGUCUUCAGAGGUUAACCCUAUCUAGGAGCAGAAUGUGACGCAUUGUAAACAAAUAAAUAUUGAAAACUCGAUGUUAAACACUUUA
rnacentral:lncRNA from 1 species